rnacentral:rRNA from 1 species
GACGUAGGGUGCGAGCGUUGUCCGGAUUUAUUGGGCGUAAAGAGCUCGUAGGCGGCUCGUCGCGUCGGCUGUGAAAACCCGCGGCUUAACUGUGGACUUGCAGCUGAUACGGGCGGGCUAGAGUUCGGUAGGGGAGACUGGAAUUCCUGGUGUAGCGGUGAAAUGCGCAGAUAUCAGGAGGAACACCGGUGGCGAAGGCGGGUCUCUGGGCCGAUACUGACGCUGAGGAGCGAAAGCAUGGGUAGCGAACAGG